UACGGAGGGUGCAAGCGUUAUCCGGAUUCACUGGGUUUAAAGGGUGCGUAGGCGGGCAGGUAAGUCAGUGGUGAAAUCUCCGGGCUUAACCCGGAAACUGCCAUUGAUACUAUCUGUCUUGAAUAUCCUGGAGGUGAGCGGAAUAUGUCAUGUAGCGGUGAAAUGCUUAGAUAUGACAUAGAACACCAAUUGCGAAGGCAGCUCACUACGGGAUUAUUGACACUGAGGCACGAAAGCGUGGGGAUCAAACAGG
rnacentral:rRNA from 1 species